rnacentral:rRNA from 1 species
UACGUAGGGUGCAAGCGUUGUCCGGAAUUAUUGGGCGUAAAGAGCUCGUAGGCGGUUUGUCGCGUCUGCUGUGAAAACUCGGGGCUUAACCCCGGGCCUGCAGUGGGUACGGGCAGACUAGAGUGCGGUAGGGGAGAAUGGAAUUCCCGGUGUAGCGGUGAAAUGCGCAGAUAUCAGGAGGAACACCGGUGGCGAAGGCGGUUCUCUGGGCAUGUCCUGACGCUGAGGAGCGAAAGUGUGGGGAGCGAACAGG